UAUUUCAAAUAGGACAUACAGUUUUAAUCCAGGAGUCGCGAUGGAGGUUGUACAGACACCAAGCUCAGCUAACAACUAACUUUUUUCAACAAACCAAUUCUAGAUUUAAAUUUCAAUGCGCUACAGAUUGUUCUAGAUUGUCAGCAUGUAAAAGUUUUAGCUUUGAUGUUGUAUCUAAAAGAUGUUAUUUCUACAAUUUCAUACCACUACUAACCAACCCAAUGACGGAAACUAACGAUCUGUUAAAAUAUUACUCAAAACGAAGAGGUAAUUGUCCUCCCACUUAUACCUUCAUACCGACAGACGGAAGAUGCAUUUUUGUAUCGACUACACCAAAGAAUUUCGACGAUGCUAUAACGCAAUGCGCGACCGAUGGAGGCACUUUAACAUUUGUAGAAACUGAAGUCGACAGAAAAUUUAUAAAAGAUAACUUUGCCUUGGAUAUAUCUUAUCAUUUUGUUGGUGGUACCAACCGGUAUGGACCCAAUAGCAGUAGUAUAUUCUAUUAUUGGUUAAAUGGUACUCCAGUUGGUGGUCUGUGGGCGCCUGGUGAACCCGAUGGUGGAAUAGACAAAUGCAACGCUAUAUCACCGGAACAUGAUUAUUAUAUACGGGAUAUCGGGUGUGCAAAUCUGUAUCGUUUUAUCUGUGAAAUACUUGUGUAACAAGGCAAAGGUUUGUGGCAUUGUGCCAUAUCUG